CCUACGGGUGGCAGCAGUGAGGAAUAUUGGUCAAUGGGCGCGAGCCUGAACCAGCCAAGUAGCGUGAAGGAUGACUGCCCUACGGGUUGUAAACUUCUUUUAUAAAUGAAUAAAAUGAGGCACGUGUUCCUUUUUGUGUGUACUUUAUGAAUAAGGAUCGGCUAACUCAGUGCCAGCAGCCACAGUAAUAACGAGGAUCCGAUUGUUAUCCGGAUUUAUUGGUUUUAAAAGAACGGUAGAUGGGGUGUUAAGUAAGUUGUGAAAAUUUGCGGCUCAACCGUAGAAUUGCAAUUGAUACUGGCCGUCUUGAUUACAGAUGACGUAGGCGGAAUUCGUGUUGUAGCGGUGAAAUGCUUAGA
rnacentral:rRNA from 1 species